CAGUCGCCACGGUAAUACGAAGGGGGCUAGCGUUGUUCGGAUUUACUGGGCGUAAAGCGCACGUAGGCGGACUUUUAAGUCAGGGGUGAAAUCCCGGGGCUCAACCCCGGAACUGCCUUUGAUACUGGGAGUCUUGAGUUCGAGAGAGGUGAGUGGAAUUGCGAGUGUAGAGGUGAAAUUCGUAGAUAUUCGCAGGAACACCAGUGGCGAAGGCGGCUCACUGGCUCGAUACUGACGCUGAGGUGCGAAAGCGUGGGAAGCAAACAGGAUUAGAUACCCGCGUAGUCCCUGUCUCUUAUAC
rnacentral:rRNA from 1 species